rnacentral:rRNA from 1 species
UCCGUAGGGUCCGAUCGUUAAUCGGAUUUACUGGGCGUAAAGCGUGCGCAGGCGGUCCGCUAAGACAGGUGUGAAAUCCCUGGGCUCAACCUAGGAAUUGCGCUUGUGACUGGCGGGCUAGAGUACGGUAGAGGGGGGUGGAAUUCCUGGUGUAGCAGUGAAAUGCGUCGAGAUCAGGAGGAACACCGAUGGCGAAGGCAGCCCCCUGGGCCUGUACUGACGCUCAGGCACGAAAGCGUGGGGAGAAAACAGG